CCUACGGGAGGCAGCAGUGGGGAAUUUUGGACAAUGGGCGAAAGCCUGAUCCAGCAAUGCCGCGUGAGUGAAGAAGGCCUUCGGGUUGUAAAGCUCUUUUGUCAGGGAAGAAACGGUGAAAGCUAAUAUCUUUUGCUAAUGACGGUACCUGAAGAAUAAGCACCGGCUAACUACGUGCCAGCAGCCGCGGUAAUACGUAGGGUGCAAGCGUUAAUCGGAAUUACUGGGCGUAAAGCGUGCGCAGGCGGUUUUGUAAGUCUGAUGUGAAAUCCCCGGGCUCAACCUGGGAAUUGCAUUGGAGACUGCAAGGCUAGAAUCUGGCAGAGGGGGGUAGAAUUCCACGUGUAGCAGUGAAAUGCGUAGAUAUGUGGAGGAACACCGAUGGCGAAGGCAGCCCCCUGGGUCAAGAUUGACGCUCAUGCACGAAAGCGUGGGGAGCAAACAGGAUUAGAUACCCUGGUAGUCCACGCCCUAAACGAUGUCUACUAGUUGUCGGGUCUUAAUUGACUUGGUAACGCAGCUAACGCGUGAAGUAGACCGCCUGGGGAGUACGGUCGCGAAGAUUAAAACUCAAAGGAAUUGACGG
rnacentral:rRNA from 1 species